rnacentral:rRNA from 1 species
UACGUAGGGGGCAAGCGUUGUCCGGAAUCAUUGGGCGUAAAGAGCGUGUAGGCGGUUCGGUAAGUCUGCUGUGAAAACUCAGGGCUUAACCCUGAGCUUGCAGUGGGUACGGGCAGACUAGAGUGCGGUAGGGGAGACUGGAAUUCCUGGUGUAGCGGUGAAAUGCGCAGAUAUCAGGAGGAACACCGGUGGCGAAGGCGGGUCUCUGGGCCGUAACUGACGCUGAGGAGCGAAAGCAUGGGGAGCGAACAGG